rnacentral:rRNA from 1 species
UACAGAGGGUGCGAGCGUUAAUCGGAAUUACUGGGCGUAAAGCGUGCGUAGACGGUUACGUAAGUCGGAUGUGAAGUCCCCGGGCUCAACCUGGGAAUUGCAUUCGAGACUGUGUAGCUGGGGUGCGGAAGAGGGAAGCGGAAUUUCCGGUGUAGCGGUGAAAUGCGUAGAUAUCGGAAGGAACAUCAGUGGCGAAAGCGGCUUCCUGGUCCAGCACCGACGUUCAGGCACGAAAGCGUGGGGAGCAAACAGG